rnacentral:rRNA from 2 species
CACCGCGUGAGUGAAGAAGGGUUUCGGCUCGUAAAGCUCUGUUGUUGGAGAAGAACGUGCGUGAGAGUAACUGUUCACGCAGUGACGGUAUCCAACCAGAAAGUCACGGCUAACUACGUGCCAGCAGCCGCGGUAAUACGUAGGUGGCAAGCGUUAUCCGGAUUUAUUGGGCGUAAAGCGAGCGCAGGCGGUUGCUUAGGUCUGAUGUGAAAGCCUUCGGCUUAACCGAAGAAGUGCAUCGGAAACCGGGCGACUUGAGUGCAGAAGAGGACAAGUGGAACUCCAUGUGUAGCGGUGGAAUGCGUAGAUAUAUGGAAGAACACCAGUGGCGAAGGCGGCUGUCUGGUCUGCAACUGACGCUGAGGCUCGAAAGCAUGGGUAGCGAACAGGAUUAGAUACCCUGGUAGUCCAUGCCGUAAACGAUGAGUGCUAGGUGUUGGAGGGUUUCCGCCCUUCAGUGCCGGAGCUAACGCAUUAAGCACUCCGCCUGGGGAGUACGACCGCAAGGUUGAAACUCAAAGGAAUUGACGGGGGCCCGCACAAGCGGUGGAGCAUGUGGUUUAAUUCGAAGCUACGCGAAGAACCUUACCAGGUCUUGACAUCUUGCGCUAACCUUAGAGAUAAGGCGUUCCCUUCGGGGACGCAAUGACAGGUGGUGCAUGGUCGUCGUCAGCUCGUGUCGUGAGAUGUUGGGUUAAGUCCCGCAACGAGCGCAACCCUUGUUACUAGUUGCCAGCAUUGGGUUGGGCACUCUAGUGAGACUGCCGGUGACAAC